AACACAUGCAAGUCGAGCGGUAACAGAAAGUAGCUUGCUACUUUGCUGACGAGCGGCGGACGGGUGAGUAAUGCUUGGGAACAUGCCUUGAGGUGGGGGACAACAGUUGGAAACGACUGCUAAUACCGCAUAACGUCUACGGACCAAAGGGGGCUUCGGCUCUCGCCUUUAGAUUGGCCCAAGUGGGAUUAGCUAGUUGGUGAGGUAAUGGCUCACCAAGGCGACGAUCCCUAGCUGGUUUGAGAGGAUGAUCAGCCACACUGGGACUGAGACACGGCCCAGACUCCUACGGGAGGCAGCAGUGGGGAAUAUUGCACAAUGGGCGCAAGCCUGAUGCAGCCAUGCCGCGUGUGUGAAGAAGGCCUUCGGGUUGUAAAGCACUUUCAGUCAGGAGGAAAGGUUAGUAGUUAAUACCUGCUAGCUGUGACGUUACUGACAGAAGAAGCACCGGCUAACUCCGUGCCAGCAGCCGCGGUAAUACGGAGGGUGCGAGCGUUAAUCGGAAUUACUGGGCGUAAAGCGUACGCAGGCGGUUUGUUAAGCGAGAUGUGAAAGCCCCGGGCUCAACCUGGGAACUGCAUUUCGAACUGGCAAACUAGAGUGUGAUAGAGGGUGGUAGAAUUUCAGGUGUAGCGGUGAAAUGCGUAGAGAUCUGAAGGAAUACCGAUGGCGAAGGCAGCCACCUGGGUCAACACUGACGCUCAUGUACGAAAGCGUGGGGAGCAAACGGGAUUAGAUACCCCGGUAGUCCACGCCGUAAACGAUGUCUACUAGAAGCUCGGAUCCUCGGAUUUGUUUUUCAAAGCUAACGCAUUAAGUAGACC
rnacentral:rRNA from 1 species